CCCGUUUGCGUUGCGCGUGUCAAAUCCCAUUCCCGUUCCCAUUCCCGGAGCCCCCCUACACUCGCCCGGCGGAUUCCAAUUUCCAGGAGUCCGCCUCCAAUUUCCUCGCAACAGCAGCUCCCCNNNNCCCCCCCCCCCCCCCCGAGAUCUNCCAUGUCGUCGUCGGCCAUGGACGCCAUCGUCGAGCUCGUCGAGCUCUCCGAGUCCAUGCGCCAGGCCGCCUCGCUCCUCGCCGACGACGACCCCUCCGACGACGCCGCCCCGCGCCGCCCCUCCACCUUCCUCAACGCCGUCGCGCUCGGCAACGUCG
rnacentral:lncRNA from 1 species